UGCGUAGGUGGCAAGGGGUGUCCGGGAUUUUUGGGCGUAAAGCGCGCGCAGGCGGCCUCUUAAGUCUGAUGUGAAAGCCCCCGGCUCAACCGGGGAGGGCCAUUGGAAACUGGGAGGCUUGAGUAGAAGAGAGAAGAGUGGAAUUCCACGUGUAGCGGUGAAAUGCGUAGAGAUGUGGAGGAACACCAGUGGCGAAGGCGACUCUUUGGCCUAUAACUGACGCUGAGGCGCCAAAGCGUGGGGAGCAAACAGG
rnacentral:misc_RNA from 1 species